rnacentral:rRNA from 1 species
AAAUUGAAGAGUUUGAUCAUGGCUCAGAUUGAACGCUGGCGGCAGGCCUAACACAUGCAAGUCGAACGGUAACAGGAAGCAGCUUGCUGCUUUGCUGACGAGUGGCGGACGGGUGAGUAAUGUCUGGGAAACUGCCUGAUGGAGGGGGAUAACUACUGGAAACGGUGGCC